GUAGCAUUGAGCACAUUUAUAUUAGAACAGGGUUCUAGUGUCAGCAUUUUACCAAGUGAGGGGACCAGAACAAUUUCUGCUUUUCACUGUGGAAUGUCAUUUGAAUCAGAAAUCUUCUUCUGGGGACUUUAUUUGAAUUUCUAACUUUCCUUAUUACUUGCCAGGGGGAAAACGCAUAUUGAACAACAAAAUGGUUAAUGUUCAUCCUCAGAGACUAGACCUUGUCAAUGUUCUCUGAUGCCCAGUAGGACCACUGCAGGAAAAAAAAAAAAAAGUUAAUGAGACUGUUGCUAGGAGACGGGAGAGCCAAAAGCUCAUAGUCUUGUAGGGGUUCCACUGGAAAUCAAGGCAACUUAAGUAUGCUUCGGAUUAAAGGGAUAAUCCCUUUUUCAGAGCACAUCUCAUUUCCAAGUGGCUGUUGCGCUGCUGUUUGCCCCCACUCCUUCAGUGCGACAGCCUCAGAGCUGGUGGAAAGACUGCAUGCCACUGGAUAAAUUCGUAGAUGUGGAAUUCCUGGAUCAAAUGAUACUCAAAGAUUUAGUUUCCUGGACUCAGUUUCUGGAAAUUUCUAGAAUGAUGUAAGAGGGAAAUAGAAGAAAUGUGUGAGGAGUUGAAGUAAAUAAUGUUUGCCAGCCUGUUGCUGACAGUAAUCUGAUGUAGGGAUUU
rnacentral:lncRNA from 13 species